rnacentral:rRNA from 1 species
UGGGGAAUAUUGCACAAUGGGCGAAAGCCUGAUGCAGCGACGCCGCGUGAUGGAUGACGGCCUUCGGGUUGUAAACCUCUUUCAGCAGGGCGAAGCGCAAGUGACGGUACCUGCAGAAGAAGCACCGGCUAACUACGUGCCAGCAGCCGCGGUAAUACGUAGGGUGCAAGCGUUGUCCGGAAUUACUGGGCGUAAAGAGUUCGUAGGCGGUUUGUCGCGUCGUUUGUGAAAACCAGCAGCUCAACUGCUGGCUUGCAGGCGAUACGGGCAGACUUGAGUACUGCAGGGGAGACUGGAAUUCCUGGUGUAGCGGUGAAAUGCGCAGAUAUCAGGAGGAACACCGGUGGCGAAGGCGGGUCUCUGGGCAGUAACUGACGCUGAGGAACGAAAGCGUGGGUAGCGAACAGG